rnacentral:rRNA from 1 species
AUUGAACGCUGGCGGCAGGCCUAACACAUGCAAGUCGAACGGUAGCACAGAGAGCUUGCUCUCGGGUGACGAGUGGCGGACGGGUGAGUAAUGUCUGGGAAACUGCCUGAUGGAGGGGGAUAACUACUGGAAACGGUAGCUAAUACCGCAUAAUGUCGCAAGACCAAAGAGGGGGACCUUCGGGCCUCUUGCCAUCAGAUGUGCCCAGAUGGGAUUAGCUAGUAGGUGGGGUAACGGCUCACCUAGGGGACGAUCCCUAGCUGGUCUGAGAGGAUGACCAGCCACACUGGAGCUGAGACACGGUCCAGACUCCUACGGGAGGCAGCAGUGGGGAAUAUUGCACAAUGGGCGCAAGCCUGAUGCAGCCAUGCCGCGUGUAUGAAGAAGGCCUUCGGGUUGUAAAGUACUUUCAGCGGGGAGGAAGGCGAUAAGGUUAAUAACCUUGUCGAUUGACGUUACCCGCAGAAGAAGCACCGGCUAACUCCGUGCCAGCAGCCGCGGUAAGAC